CAAAGGCUUCGGCCGGUAAAGGAUGGGGAUGCGUCUGAUUAGCUUGCCGGCGGGGUAACGGCCCACCGGGGCGACGAUCAGUAGGGGUUCUGAGAGGAAGGUCCCCCACAUUGGAACUGAGACACGGUCCAAACUCCUACGGGAGGCAGCAGUGAGGAAUAUUGGUCAAUGGGCGCGAGCCUGAACCAGCCAAGUAGCGUGCAGGACGACGGCCCUAUGGGUUGUAAACUGCUUUUAUACGGGGAUAAAGUAUGCCACGUGUGGUUUAUUGCAGGUGCCGUAUGAAUAAGGACCGGCUAAUUCCGUGCCAGCAGCCGCGGUAAUACGGAAGGUCCGGGCGUCAUCCGGAUUUAUUGGGUUUAAAGGGAGCGUAGGCCGGGUUUUAAGCGUGCCGUGAAAUGUCGGGGCUCAACCUUGACACUGCGGCGCGAACUGGAGUCCUUGAGUGCGCGGAACGUAUGCGGAAUUCGUGGUGUAGCGGUGAAAUGCUUAGAUAUCACGAAGAACCCCGAUUGCGAAGGCAGCAUACGGCAGCGCUACUGACGCUGAAGCUCGAAGGCGCGGGUAUCGAACAGGAUUAGAUACCCUGGUAGUCCGCGCGGUAAACGAUGGAUGCCCGCUGUUGGCGAUAUAUUGUCA
rnacentral:rRNA from 1 species